GAACGUACGCUGGCGGCACGCCUAACACAUGCAAGUCGAACGAAGUAGCAAUACUUAGUGGCAGACGGGUGAGUAACAUGUAGGUAUCUGCCCUUUGGCCUGGAAUAACACGAGGAAACUUGUGCUAAUACCGGAUAAGUCUUUACAGAGAAAGCUUUAUGCACCAUUGGAUGAGCCUGCACUUGAUUAGUUUGUUGGUGGGGUAAUGGCCUACCAAGACUGUGAUCAAUAGCUGAUUUGAGAGGAUGAUCAGCCACAUUGGGACUGAGACACGGCCCAAACUCCUACGGGAGGCAGCAGUGGGGAAUCUUGCACAAUGGAGGAAACUCUGAUGCAGCGAUGCCGCGUGAGUGAAGAAGGCCUUUGGGUUGUAAAGCUCUUUCGUCGGGGAAGAAAAUGACUGUACCCGAAUAAGAAGGUCCGGCUAACUUCGUGCCAGCAGCCGCGGUAAUACGAAGGGACCUAGCGUAGUUCGGAAUUACUGGGCUUAAAGAGUUCGUAGGUGGUUGAAAAAGUUAGUGGUGAAAUCCCAGAGCUUAACUCUGGAACUGCCAUUAAAACUUUUCAGCUAGAGUAUGAUAGAGGAAAGCAGAAUUUCUAGUGUAGAGGUGAAAUUCGUAGAUAUUAGAAAGAAUACCAAUUGCGAAGGCAGCUUUCUGGAUCAUUACUGACACUGAGGAACGAAAGCAUGGGUAGCGAAGAGGAUUAGAUACCCUCGUAGUCCAUGCCGUAAACGAUGUGUGUUAGACGUUGGAAAUUUAUUUUCAGUGUCGCAGCGAAAGCGAUAAACACACCGCCUGGGGAGUACGACCGCAAGGUUAAAACUCAAAUGAAUUGACGGGGACCCGCACAAGUAGUGGAGCAUGUGGUUUAAUUCGAAGAUACGCGCAGAACCUUACCAACACUUGACAUGUUCGUCGCGACUCUAAGAGAUUAGAGUUUUCGGUUCGGCCGGACGAAACACAGGUGCUGCAUGGCUGUCGUCAGCUCGUGUCGUGAGAUGUUGGGUUAAGUCCCGCAACGAGCGCAACCCUCACUUUUAGUUGCCAUCAUUAAGUUGGGCACUCUGAAAGAACUGCCAGUGAUAAGCUGGAGGAAGGUGGGGAUGACGUCAAGUCCUCAUGGCCCUUACGUGUUGGGCUACACACGUGCUACAAUGGUAUCUACAACAGGAAGCAAGACUGCGAAGUUAAGCAAAUCCCUAAAAGAUACCUCAGUUCGGAUUGCACUCUGCAACUCGAGUGCAUGAAGCUGGAAUUACUAGUAAUCGUGGAUCAGCGUGCCACGGUGAAUGCGUUCCCGGGUCUUGUACACACC
rnacentral:rRNA from 1 species